CCGGUGUGACGUGAAACUCGUCAGACCAUGAGAAGGGUCAGAUAAACGGAAAACACAGAGCACUGCGCAUGCGCAUUAGAACAUAAAUAAACAAAAUCAUAUGCGUGAGAACCGUCAGAUACAGAUAAAUCAAGAGUUGUGCUUUACGUGGGACAUUUAACACAAAGUAACAUAUGCAUGCCACCCACAAACAAACGGCCUUGAUGAAAGGACCAAUCAAACAAUCAAAAGGGCCUUAAGCAAAUUGGUCAACGACAUAUAGAACGAUUGGGAUGAAAGGCUUGAUGAGGUUCUUUUCUCAAUUCGGACCAAAAAACAGUUGUCAACUAAAUUCAGCCCAUUCUUCCUUCUGUACGGACGGGAAGCAAUGUACCCGAGUCAGUUGCAGACUGUGGCUCUUGAUGACAAAAAAGGUGUAUUGUCCGACCCAGACAUGAUUGAAAAACCAUCCAGUGUGCGAAAGCAACAAACAGAAACUGCAGGAAAAGUUGUACUGGACAAUAUGUCUAAAGCCUAAGAGACUAAUUUCAAGCCAACAACAAAAAAAGAAAAUUUGAUCAAAUACAUGUGGGGGCUAGAGUGUUAAAGUUCAAUGCUUCGAGGGCGGCGAGAAAAGCCAAAGGAAAUCUUGAAAGUAAUUACACUGGACCAUAUGUUGUAGACAAUAUAAAAGGGAAUAUUGCAACACUUAAAACAAUGAGUGGACAGGUUUUGAAGUCUGGAGUGUCCCUCAACAACGUAAAAAUAUUUGUGGAAUCAGCAGUGGAAUCAGCAGAAAAUUGCUUAAAGCUUCAAACAGGAGUCAGCAGAGUAAAUACAAUACAAUGUAUUUGCAGUUUUACAGAAAAGCCAAGUGUUUGUCCAGUCAGCUCCUUCAUUAAUGAGGCUUUAAAACUAAAUCAAGGUCAAAUACACUUAAUACUAAAAAGUAAAGAUGGAAACUAAAAUUU